GGUUUAAAUAACAUAGGUAAAUGUAAUGUGGUUUAGAGGGUGUCCUCUAGACACCCCAGUGUAGAGGUUUAAAUAAUAGAGGUAAAUGUAAUGUGGUUUAGAGGGUGUCCUCUAGACACCCCAGUGUAGAGGUUUAAAUAAUAGAGGUAAAUGUAAUGUGGUUUAGAGGGUGUCCUCUAGACACCCCAGUGUAGAGGUUUAAAUAAUAGAGGUAAAUGUAAUGUGGUUUAGAGGGUGUCCUCUAGACACCCCAGUGUAGAGGUUUAAAUAAUAGAGGUAAAUGUAAUGUGGUUUAGAGGGUGUCCUCUAGACACCCCAGUGUAGAGGUUUAAAUAAUAGAGGUAAAUGUAAUGUGGUUUAGAGGGUGUCCUCUAGACACCCCAGUGUAGAGGUUUAAAUAAUAGAGGUAAAUGUAAUGUGGUUUAGAGGGUGUCCUCUAGACACCCCAGUGUAGAGGUUUAAAUAAUAGAGGUAAAUGUAAUGUGGUUUAGAGGGUGUCCUCUAGACACCCCAGUGUAGAGGUUUAAAUAAUAGAGGUAAAUGUAAUGUGGUUUAGAGGGUGUCCUCUAGACACCCCAGUGUAGAGGUUUAAAUAAUAGAGGUAAAUGUAAUCAAGGUUUGAAAUGAUUUGUCUCAUAACAUAUUUGUUUUGGAUUUCAGCGUAUAAUUGUUUUAUAACUAUAUAACUAUGUUCAAUAGAUUUUCAGCGUAUAAAUGUUUUAUAACUAUAUAACUAUGUU